CAACACCUGUGGUUCACUCAUCACAGGCGUCUGAGACCCUCUCAUUAAGGAAGAUAUCCUCUUUAAGGCCAACAAGAAAAAGACAGUAUUCAGGAAGUGCCGUCUGUGAUACAGACUACAGCGAUGUCACAGACUACAGCGAUGUUGACUAUAUACCAAAAAUCAGCUCAGAUGAUUCGGAUGGUAGUUCUUCUGGACAUGACAUGGUCAAAAGUGCUUUGAUACAUCCAACAUCUCCCAAAGAGGCAGGUAGUUUAUCUGAUCAAUGUAUGACCGCACCAUCACCUAAAAAGAUGAAAUGCCAAUCUAAAGAGACAAACACCUCGUCUGGUGAUAAGACUUUUAUUCAGUCAAUGCCAUCACCUAAGCAGGAACGCAAGACGUACAACAAAAAGCAGUAUUGCCUUUAUUGCUCUAAGCCAUAUUCAAAAAUGGCCAGACACCUUGAAUUUGUCCAUCGCAACGAAGUGGGGGUUGUAAAGGCAGUAGCAUUUCCAAAACAUUCAAAAGAAAGACGAGUCCAGUUAAACCUCCUUAGAAAAAGGGGCAACUUUGCCCACAACACCGAUGUGGUGAGACAAGGACAUGGGGAGAUGAUUGCCUGCUACCGUCCAAAAAAUAGUCAAAGAGCCAAUGAAUUUAUUCACUGCAUUUACUGCCAAGGGCUUUAUAACAAGCGUAGCCUUUGGAAACAUA